GUGGAUUAGAUACCCGAGUAGUCCACGCCGUAAACGAUGUCUACUAGCCGUUGGGGUCCUUGAGGCCUUAGUGGCGCAGCUAACGCACUAAGUAGACCGCCUGGGGAGUACGGUCGCAAGAUUAAAACUCAAAUGAAUUGACGGGGGCCCGCACAAGCGGUGGAGCAUGUGGUUUAAUUCGACGCAACGCGAAGAACCUUACCAGGUCUUGACAUCCAGAGAACUUUCCAGAGAUGGAUUGGUGCCUUCGGGAACUCUGAGACAGGUGCUGCACGGCCGUCGACAACU
rnacentral:rRNA from 1 species